CGCAUGCUACAGAGGUGGAGGGAGGUGAGUUUCUGUCUUAGCUGAGUAUUUGUGCAAUUAUUCGCCUUCAUGUGGGAUAGUGGAAUGAACGAUUGCUCAAUCUGGACCUGGGAAUGUUAAAGUUACAGGUAAUUCGUCCCCUGAAGAUCUAGAAUAACGCGUUUUUUCCUUUGGGGUGGAGCGCCUGGUACACACGUGGAUCGUCUCCGUGUGGAGGAAGCGUUCAGGAUUUCACUGGAGGAAGCCCUUUCCUGAAAUACCAUGACCUUCAGAUGUAAGCUUAUGUAAAUAUCUGUGGAAUCUCAGACGCAGAUGAUGGUCUGAGUGACCUGCAGACUCUGAAGACCAGCCUGAUAUUGGGAAGACUUGAACGGACUGAGGGAAAACUCCCGUCGAGGUAAUUAUGAUCAGUGUCUUAAUGUUUUCAAUUUCUUUUUACCAACGCAGUAUUCUGCAAUUUAACAUAAGAUUGUUCUGACUUGUUCAAAUGGAAUUGUGUCUUUUCUGAAAUAAUAAAAAUGCUUUAAAAAUGU